UUUCUCUCCUUAACCCCUACAAGGGUUUGGAAAAUGCCUUUGUGCUGGUUGCUGCUGUCAGCUGGGGAGGCUGAGGCAGGAGGAU
rnacentral:miRNA from 1 species